rnacentral:rRNA from 1 species
AACGAACGCUGGCGGCAGGCCUAACACAUGCAAGUCGAACGCCCCGCAAGGGGAGUGGCAGACGGGUGAGUAACACGUGGGAACAUACCCUUUGGUUCGGAAUAACUCAGGGAAACUUGAGCUAAUACCGGAUAAGCCCGAGAGGGGAAAGAUUUAUCGCCAAAGGAUUGGCCCGCGUCCGAUUAGCUAGUUGGUGAGGUAACGGCUCACCAAGGCGACGAUCGGUAGCUGGUCUGAGAGGAUGAUCAGCCACAUUGGGACUGAGACACG